GCCCCUGUAGCUCAAUGGAUAGAGCAGCGGGUUCCUAACCUGCAGACCUACGUUCGACUCGUAGCGGGGGCA
rnacentral:tRNA from 1 species